UGUGUGUGUGUGUGUGUGUGUGUGUGUGUGUGUGUGUGUGUUCCUAAAUAAAUAUAACAUGGCUUGCAAGAUACAGAUAUUAUUGCAGAAGAUAAGUCAGAAAGAUUAUGAAAGCCAAAGGAAAAGGAAGUUUGCUGUGAUAGUUUUUCUGUAUCUCCAGAAAUGUCAGUAGUUACAGGCAUAAAGUCUCACCAAACAUGCUUAAACAUGACCUGAACAAAGACGAUACCAAUAAGCAGGCUAAGGUGGCAGGGAGGGGCUCUCUUGAGGCCUCAACCCCGAAGAAUAACUACAGGCAAUUACGAAAUGCUGAGAAAGUCUUUGCUAGGGAAGGGCGCACCAAUUGAUUAUCUAGUUUUUGCUUUGUUUUUAGGCAAACGGGGCCAAGGGGAUGAUGUCUCAGUAGUAACAUGCUUGCUGGGCAAGCAAGAGGACACAGGUUUGAUUCUAAAUGCACACUUCCAAGCCAGAAGUGACAGGAUACACCUAUAACCCUGGUUCCAAUAAAACAAAUUCCAGUUCCUCACAAAAAAAUCCAGACUGGGAGACCACAACAGCCCCUGUAAGAAUAACAACGAAGGGAGACGAGCAAGGGGGGAGCAGCUGGAAGGGCACAGGCGUGAGUCAAGCCAAGUUAAAUGACAUCUCUGAAACCCAAGCCCCAUGGCAGCAGAUCAGGGCACUGCAAUUAGUUUCCUCUAUGAAUUUCAAGUUAGCAUCUGAUAGCCCCAGAGAAUAGCUGCUGCAAGUAAAAAACUAGGGUGCGGCGGGAUAGCACGCCUACUGGGGUACACUGGCAGCUGUCUGCAGAGCCAUCCCUGCAAUGGCUUAGCAGAAGCAUUCCGUGAGGAACCAGUCUCUAGUUUGGUGGCACGCUGCCCUUGGUAAGCACUUCUAUCAAGGGCUUACAUUUAGACACAUAAAUGACUUUGGAGCUAGUACAAAAGCCUGGAUCGUGGAACCCUCCUAGGACACACGUCAGAGCAAGCAGGCCCAAUCAGCACAAUCAAAUCUAGCAGGAAUAAAUGAAUAUAAAGUUCUUCAUUUACAUCAAACAAAACCAAGUUCUGAAUGGAGGGGGGAAAUCUGACAUCAAAGGGAAAGAUCUGACGAUUUAACAAUCUAACUUGUCCAAAAAUUCACGGGCCAAAAAUAUGAUUUGAUUGCUUAGAGAAAACUAAUAUAAUUCCAGUCUGCAUGAAUAUUCAAAGAAAUGUAAUCUCUGAAACAUGGCAAGUUAGCAUCCCCAUUAGAGCCAGUUCUGGCCAGACCGCAUCUGGAACGCUGUGCUUAAUUUGAGAUGCUCGUUUUAAGGGAGACAAUAAUGAACUAAAGGAUGCCCAAGAAACACAGCCAGGAAAGGAAUGAGAAACAUAAUAUGAUAAGAGGUUAAAAGAGCUAUGUGUACUGAGCCUGGAAAACUAAAAGGAAAACGUCAAUUAGCUUCAAAUACUUUAGUACUGGGUACCGAGGGAACACGUCUAUUUUCUUGUUGUUCCAUUUACCCAAAAUAAGGAAUGCUGAACAGAAUUUAGAGCCCACCCUGAGAAGACAGUAUCUCUUUACAGUCUGCACGGCUACUCAGGGAAAGGAGUGCUGGCCUCCAGCAGGUGGGGAGUCCAAGGACCAGGGCUGAGGUUUAAGAGACUUGCUCAGGCUGGCUGGCUGCUUCAGGAGGACUUCAGGACACCCACAAUGCAACCUUCUCAAGAUUACGUCAGUAUCUCAUCAGAGUUCUGAUUCCCAUCAGGUUCAGUAAUAAAAGCAUGAAAAAAGAAAGAUCACAUGUGUCUAGACAAAAAGGGAGGCUUUAUGUUAAAAAAAAAAAA
rnacentral:sRNA from 1 species